CAGCGGAGGGAUCAUUACUGAGUUUACGCUCUACAACCCUUUGUGAACAUACCUAUAACUGUUGCUUCGGCGGGUAGGGUCUCCGUGACCCUCCCGGCCUCCCGCCCCCGGGCGGGUCGGCGCCCGCCGGAGGAUAACCAAACUCUGAUUUAACGACGUUUCUUCUGAGUGGUACAAGCAAAUAAUCAAAACUUUUAACAACGGAUCUCUUGGUUCUGGCAUCGAUGAAGAACGCAGCGAAAUGCGAUAAGUAAUGUGAAUUGCAGAAUUCAGUGAAUCAUCGAAUCUUUGAACGCACAUUGCGCCCGCCAGCAUUCUGGCGGGCAUGCCUGUUCGAGCGUCAUUUCAACCCUCAAGCUCUGCUUGGUGUUGGGGCCCUACAGCUGAUGUAGGCCCUCAAAGGUAGUGGCGGACCCUCCCGGAGCCUCCUUUGCGUAGUAACUUUACGUCUCGCACUGGGAUCCGGAGGGACUCUUGCCGUAAAACCCCCAAUUUUCCAAAGGUUGACCUCGGAUCAG
rnacentral:rRNA from 1 species